UUUUAACUUUCCGGUCCAUUUAACACAAAGCUACGUCAUAAACAUGGAGCGCUUGGAAGACGACGAUGUUAUAAUCCUUCUGUCAGGAGGAUCCAAGUGAAGCUACAGGAGUUUCAGCAACGUCAAAAACUGGGACCGAACAGUUUGUUUGGCUUGAGGAGGAACAGGAAGGGCAGCCUCUCCCAAAGAGAAGGAGACCUGGAGAGAAACAGAAGCCGGGUUUAGGCCACUGCCACCAUCCACAUACAUCGAGGAAGAUGAGGGAGAGAAAUUCUCUUACCAUCAAAGAGAAUGGUUGUUUUUUUGACCAAGCAUGCUUCCCUGCUGUGAUUGUUCAACUGGGAAAACAACUCUUUCCACAGGAAGGCAAGUCAAUUUGAUUGGAAGGAAUCUAAAUGU